rnacentral:rRNA from 1 species
AACGAACGCUGGCGGCAGGCUUAACACAUGCAAGUCGAACGGAUGUAGCAAUACAUCAGUGGCAGACGGGUGAGUAACACGUGGGAACCUUCCUCGUUGUACGGGACAACUCAGGGAAACUUGAGCUAAUACCGUAUACGUCCGAGAGGAGAAAGAUUUAUCGCAAUGAGACGGGCCCGCGUCGGAUUAGUCUAGUUGGG